CAAGUGAUGAUUAUUGGAGGUAGAGCACUGUUUGGACGAGGGGCCCCUCUCGGGUUACCGAAUUCAGACAAACUCCGAAUGCCAAUUAAUUUAACUUGGGAGUCAGAACAUGGGUGAUAAGGUCCGUGUUCGAAAGGGAAACAGCCCAGACCACCAGCUAAGGUCCCAAAAUAUAUGUUAAGUGGAAAAGGAUGUGGCGUUGCCCAGACAACUAGGAUGUUGGCUUAGAAGCAGCCAUCAUUUAAAGAGUGCGUAAUAGCUCACUAGUCGAGUGACACUGCGCCGAAAAUGUACCGGGGCUAAACAUAUUACCGAAGCUGUGGAUUGUCCUUUGGACAAUGGUAGGAGAGCGUUCUAAGGGCGUUGAAGCAUGAUCGUAAGGACAUGUGGAGCGCUUAGAAGUGAGAAUGCCGGUGUGAGUAGCGAAAGACGGGUGAGAAUCCCGUCCACCGAUUGACUAAGGUUUCCAGAGGAAGGCUCGUCCGCUCUGGGUUAGUCGGGUCCUAAGCUGAGGCCGACAGGCGUAGGCGAUGGAUAACAGGUUGAUAUUCCUGUACCACCUAUAAUCGUUUUA
rnacentral:rRNA from 1 species